AGGAACUUAAGUUAUACCAAACUAGAGACCUUCAAAGCCUCAAAAAAAGACCGCUUUAGUUCCUG
rnacentral:tRNA from 1 species